CGUGUCACAAUGCCAGACAGACAGUACUGGCUCUCUGUGAACUGAAGUCCCCAGCGCGGGGCUGAAGGCAUGAACAUGACCCACACAACCAAACAGCACAAAUGACCUCAAGCUUUGAGAACUGCUGAAAAGGUAAAACAGCUCAGGCACCGCUUUUCCAAAGGGACAACUCCAAGUGGAAAUGAAGCAGAGAGACCCAGACGGAAGUGAGAACAGACGACAUGUUUGAUAUAAAGCAUCUCUCAAGUGCCUGGCACACAGGAAGAAAGACUCUCUCUCUGGUGGCAGGCACAGCCACCGCAGGAGCAGAUGCUGCCACAGAAUUCCCCAAGUGCCAGAGGCUGCUCCAAGCAUGCAGAAUGUAUUGUCACCCGCUUCAGGUAGGGACCCUACCAUCCCAGGAAAGAGGUUCCCAUCAGCAAACCUGCUCUAUACUGUUCCUGCAACCCCCUACUUUGUUCACAAAGAUGGGAACAGUUAGCAAAUGCUUUCUCACAUGGUUCCUGUCUAAAGUGGAUGAUGCUGUAACCCAAGUGAAAGACAGAGCUACCCACAAAGAGCUGUGUGACUUUUGAACUCUUUGGCCUGGAAUGGUCU